rnacentral:rRNA from 1 species
AGGGUGGGCACUCUGAAUUGACUGCCGGUGACAAACCGGAGGAAGGCGGGGAUGACGUCAAAUCAUCAUGCCCCUUAUGACCUGGGCUACACACGUACUACAAUGGCCGGUACAACGGGCCGCGAAGCCGCGAGGCGGAGCCAAUCCUUAAAAGCCGGUCUCAGUUSGGAUUGCAGGCUGCAACUCGCCUGCAUGAAGUCGGAAUUGCUAGU